rnacentral:piRNA from 1 species
UGCAGUUCAUAGAUACUCACCCUGGUGGA